rnacentral:rRNA from 1 species
CCUACGAGAUGCAGCAGUAGGGAAUCUUUCACAAUGGGCGAAAGCCUGAUGGAGCAACGCCGCGUGGGUGAAGAAGGUCUUCGGAUCGUAAAACCCUGUUGUUAGAGAAGAACGUGCGUUAGAGUAACUGUUCACGUUUCGACGGUAUCUAACCAGAAAGCAACGGCUAACUACGUGCCAGCAGCCGCGGUAAUACGUAGGUGGCAAGCGUUAUCCGGAUUUAUUGGGCGUAAAGGGAUCGUAGGCGGUCUUUUAAGUCUGAUGGUAAAGCCUUCGGCUUAACCGGAGUAGUGCAUUGGAAACUGGGAGACGUGAGUGCGUGAGAGGAGAGUGGAACUCCAUGUGUAGCGGUGAAAUGCGUAGAUAUAUGGAAGAACACCAGUGGCGAAAGCGGCUCUCUGGUCUGUAACUGACGCUGAGGUUCGAAAGCGUGGGUAGCAAACAGGAUUAGAUACCCCAGUAGUC